UUUCUCUCGGUCUGUACGGUGUAUAAGGAAUUAUGGAUUAUCGAAAUGGUGAUUUCUUGUUCCGCUUUCAAUUGUACGAAGCGGUGGAGUAAGGAGAGUGACUUACCAUUUCACAGGUUUCCUCUAAAGCACCCAGAGCUACUAAAUACGUGGAUUACUUCCGUGAAGCGGAAAGAUUUUAAUCCUACGUCUUGCAGUUACUUUGCGGAAACCAUUUCCGACAAGAUGAUUACGUAGUGAACCCUGGAACGUGGAAGAAACGUCUCAAACCCGAAGCAGUGCCAUCAGUUUUUGACUUUCCGACACAUUUGAUGCCACCAAAUAAACAGCCACGACGACAUGUUGUUACGAUUUUGAGUGCCAACGAUGAUUCUCCAUUUGAGCGUUCUGUCAUGGAAUCCGUGCUCGAUUUUCCCAUUGCAGACGCUACUGAUUGCGGGGAGAAUGUUGUCAAUGAGAAUUCUUCCGUGGAAAGCAUGUCCCACUUAUCCAAUGCAGAAGCUGUGAAUUGUGUCGAAAACAGUGCAGUUGGUUCUUCAGUAAUUGAUUGUGGUAUACAGUCGAAAGUAGAAAUGGAAGACAUGGCGACCGAAACUUGCAUUAUAUUUCUUUUUUCCUCAGACAUUGUGCACUAAUUAAAACGUAAACUGAAGUGUGUCCGUGAAAAACUUCGAAGAAGGAAGUGUUUUCCAUUGAUGACAUCAUAAGUUCAUUGAAGGAGAAGGGGCAUCUUCCUGAGAAGUUACAUCAAUCAUCAGAAAGGAACACAAGUGGAAUUAGUGUGCAUUGUAGUGAACACCUCUCUCUCGUCAAAGGGUUAUAUGUCACAUAUGGAACUGAAAUUAUCAAGUUACGAUGACAAAGGAAGGAAUUAACAUUAAGGAAUCUUACUUCACAGAAAUUAUGUAACAAUGG